UUACCACCUUGACAUGAAAGAGAUUUCGAAAGACACAGGUGCUGCAUGGCCGUCGUCAGCUCGUGUCGUGAGAUGUUGGGUUAAGUCCCGCAACGAGCGCAACCCUAUCUUAGUUGCUACUGAAGGGACUCUAAGAGACUGCCGGUGACAACCGGAGGAAGGUGGGGAUGACGUCAGGUCAUCAUGGCCCUUAUGGUGGGCUACACACGUCAUACAAUGGGGUACAAGGGGCACCGCGAGGGGAGCAAUCUCAAAACCGUCGUAGUCCGGAUCGCAGUCUGCAACUCGACUGCGUGAAGUCGGAAUCGCUAGUAAUCGCGAUCAGCUCGCGCGGUGAAUACGUUCCCGGGUCUUGUACACACCGCCCGUCACACCAUGGGAGCGGGUCGCCGAA
rnacentral:rRNA from 1 species